AGUGAACGCUGGCGGUAGGCCUAACACAUGCAAGUCGAACGGCAGCACAGUAAGAGCUUGCUCUUACGGGUGGCGAGUGGCGGACGGGUGAGGAAUACAUCGGAAUCUACUUUUUCGUGGGGGAUAACGUAGGGAAACUUACGCUAAUACAGCAUACGACCUACGGGUGAAAGCAGGGGAUCUUCGGACCUUGCGCGAUUGAAUGAGCCGAUGUCGGAUUAGCUAGUUGGCGGGGUAAAGGCCCACCAAGGCGACGAUCCGUAGCUGGCCUGAGAGGAUGAUCGGCCACAUUGGAACUGAGACACGGUCCAGACUCCUACGGGAGGCAGCAGUGGGGAAUAUUGGGCAAUGGGCGCAAGCCUGAUCCAGCCAUACCGCGUGGGUGAAGAAGGCUUUCGGGUUGUAAAGCCCUUUUGUUGGGAAAGAAAAGCAGCAGGUUAAUACCCCGCUGUUCUGACGGUACCCAAAGAAUAAGCACCGGCUAACUUCGUG
rnacentral:rRNA from 1 species